rnacentral:rRNA from 1 species
UCAGUCGACUCCUACGGGGAGGCAGCAGUGGGGGAAUAUUGGACAAUGGGGGGGAACCCUGAUCCAGCCAUGCCGCGUGUGUGAAGAAGGCCUUAUGGUUGUAAAGCACUUUAAGCGAGGAGGAGGCUACUGAGACUAAUACUCUUGGAUAGUGGACGUUACUCGCAGAAUAAGCACCGGCUAAACUCUGUGCCAGCAGCCGCGGUAAUACAGAGGGUGCGAGCGUUAAUCGGAUUUACUGGGCGUAAAGCGUGCGUAGGCGGCGUUUUAAGUUCGGAUGUGAAAUACCCCGAGCUUAACUUGGGAAUUGCAUUCGAUACUGGGAAGCUAGAGUAUGGGAGAGGAUGGUAGAAUUCCAGGUGUAGCGGUGAAAUGCGUAGAGAUCUGGAGGAAUACCGAUGGCGAAGGCAGCCAUCUGGCCUAAUACUGACGCUGAGGUACGAAAGCAUGGGGAGCAAACAGGAUUAGAUACCCUGGUAG